GGCUCGUUGGUGUAGUUGGUAGCACGCUUGGUACUAGAAACGGUGUCUGGCCAUCAUCGUACCUGCGUACGGGUCGGGUUAAGGCUGUGAUGGACACUCCUAUCGGUCACGAGACGGAUAGGAGGAAAAGACAGUUCAUCCCCCUAGCUCAAAGGACAAGAGAUUGUGUUUAUGAGAUGCGACCGGCGUAUCCCAUAACUGCUCUGUGUUUGACGGAGACAAGAUAGGCGGGUUCGAUUCCCGUCCGAGUUU